UACGUAGGGGGCAAGCGUUGUCCGGAAUCAUUGGGCGUAAAGAGCGUGUAGGCGGCCCGGUAAGUCCGCUGUGAAAGUCAAAGGCUCAACCUUUGAAUGUCAGCGGAUACUGCCGGGCUAGAGUCCGGAAGAGGCGAGUGGAAUUCCUGGUGUAGCGGUGGAAUGCGCAGAUAUCAGGAGGAACACCAACGGCGAAGGCAGCUCGCUGGGACGGUACUGACGCUGAGACGCGAAAGCGUGGGGAGCGAACAGG
rnacentral:rRNA from 1 species